CCUACGGGCGGCAGCAGUGGGGAAUAUUUCACAAUGGGCGAAAGCCUGAUGCAGCAACGCCGCGUGAGCGAUGAAGGCCUUCGGGUCGUAAAGCUCUGUUCUCAAGGAAGAUAAUGAUGGUACCUGAGGAGUAAGCCUCGGCUAACUACGUGCCAGCAGCCGCGGUAAUACGUAGGGGGCUAGCAUUAUCCGGAAUUACUGGACGUAAAGGGUGCGUUGGUGGUAUCUUGAGUCAGCGGUGAAAGGCUACGGCUAAAACGCAGCAAACCGUUGAAACUGGUAAGCUCGAGAGCAGGAGUGGUGAGUGGAAUUCCUAGUGUAGCAGUGAAAUGCGUAGAUAUUAGGAGGAACACCAGUAGCGUAGGCAGGUUACUGGACUGUUACUGACACUAAGGCACGAAAGCGUAGGGAGCAAACGGGAUUAGAUACCCCUGUAGUC
rnacentral:rRNA from 1 species